rnacentral:rRNA from 1 species
CACGUGGGUAACCUGCCUGUAAUACUGGCAUAACUCCAGGAAACCGGGGCUAAUACCGGAUGGUUGUUUGAACCGCAUGAUUCAAACAUAAAAGGUGGCUUCGGCUACCACUUACAGAUGGACCCGAGGCGCAAUAGCUAGUUGGUGAGGUAACGGCUCACCAAGGCGACGAUGCGUAGCCGACCUGAGAGGGUGAUCGGCCACACUGGGACUGAGACACGGCCCAGACUCCUACGGGAGGCAGCAGUAUGGAAUCUUCCGCAAUGGACGAAAGUCUGACUGAACAUCGCCGCGUGAGUAAUAGAUGUUUUCGGAUCGUAAACUCUGUUGUUAGGGAAGAACCAGUACCGUUCGAAUAGGGCGGUACCUUGACGGUACCUAACCAGAAAGCCACGGCUAACUACGUGCCAGCAGCCGCGGUAAUACGUAGGUGGCAAGCGUUGUCCGGAAUUAUUGGGCGUAAAGGGCUCGCAGGCGGUUUCUUAAAUCUGAUGUGAAAGCCCCCGGCUCAUCCGGGGAGGGUCAUUGGAAACUGGGGAACUUGAGUGCAGAAGAGGAGAGUGGAAUUCCACGUGUAGCGGUGAAAUGCGUAGAGAUGUGGAGGAACACCAGUGGCGAAGGCGACUCUCUGGUCUGUAACUGACGCUGAGGAGCGAAAGCGUGGGGAGCGAACAGGAUUAGAUACCCUGGUAGUCCACGCCGUAAACGAUGAGUGCUAAGUGUUAGGGGGUUUCCGCCCCUUAGUGCUGCAGCUAACGCAUUAAGCACUCCGCCUGGGGAGUACGGUCGCAAGACUGAAACUCAAAGGAAUUGACGGGGGCCCGCACAAGCGGUGGAGCAUGUGGUUUACUUCGAAGCACACGAGAAGAACCUUACCAGGUCUUGACAUCCUACUGACAAUCCUAGAGAUAGGACGUCCCCUUCGGGGGCAGAGUGACAGGUGGUGCAUGGUUGUCGUCAGCUCGUGUCGUGAGAUGUUGGGUUAAGUCCUGCAACGAACGCAACCCUUGAUCUUAGUUGCCAGCAUUCAGUUGCGCACUCUAAGGUGACUGCCGGUGACAAACCGGAGGAAGGUGGGGAUGACGUCAAAUCAUCAUGCCCCUUAUGACCUGGGCUACACACGCUGCUACAAUGGACAGAACAAAGGGCAGCGAAACCGCGAGGUUAAGCCAAUCCCACAAAUCUGUUCUCAGUUCGGAUCGCAGUCUGCAACUCGAUGCG